CGGCUAUUGCCAAGGGAUCUCGUUGGAUGUGACCGCUCAGACCCCUCGUCAUCCGCUGGCUCCCAGCGCAAAGGGAAAGUGAAGGAAUAUAUGUCGUCUUCUGAGGACGGUGGCGACCUGCUGACGCUGGCGAGUGGCUUUCCUGUCCUACACCCAAGUUCUGCGAGCGUCUCCGUGUUGUGAUUUCCAGAGAAUUUGGAGAGGCUCGGGGUGAAAGCACGGCCUGGGCGUCGAAGGAGG